ensembl:misc_RNA Metazoa_SRP Metazoan signal recognition particle RNA
GCUGGGCGUGGUGGCGCAUGCCUGUAAUCCCAGCUACUCAGGAGGCUGAGACAGGAGAAUUGCUUGAACCCAGGAGACAGAGGUUGCAGUGACCCAAGAUCACGCCACUGCACUCUCGCCUGGGCAACAGAGCAAGACUCUGCCUCAA